rnacentral:tRNA from 1 species
GCCCUAGAAGCUCACAUGUUAGAGCACCGGUUUUGUAAUCCGGAAGUUGAAGGUUAAAAUCCUUCCUGGCGCU